UGAUGCUCUUAAUUGAAUUAAGACAUCAGUGACGGUGGUCAGCAUAGACAGAUGGCUCAACGCCAUAAAAAUGGGCUUAUUUCCACAUUGAAUCCUGGCUAAGGUGGAGAAUUUAAGGUGAGCUUCUUUUCAAGGAGAACAUUUGGAAUUCUCCCAAGCUGAUAUGCUCCAGAUAUAUGGGAAAUAAAGCUUCAAGAAUUUCAAGAUGACCCUAAUGGUGAAGAUUAACCCCCCAAGUGGCUUCAAUGACUCUCAGAGAGAAUGCUGAUGACCAGAUGACUGCAAGGAAUAUAAAUCCUUCCAUUCUCCACCAUUUUGCCAGAACUGAAGAACCUUUUUGGAUGAGAUGUGAAACAUCUUCAAAGAAGAACAAAGAAAGUCCAAUUGCCUUUUGAAAAAGUACUUCUGGGACAAUCAUGACCAGGGUAACUGAGAAUCUUCAUAGACACUAAACAUUUGUUAUGAAAUACAGGUGCCAGCAUUGUGUGGACAGAUCUGGACUUCUUACAGGAAUAAGAAACUUGGUUUCUUGAGAGAAUUGAAAAGGUCACAUUUUUCAUUAAAAGAUCUCCUUCUCCCAGAUGCAAAUUGGGGCAAUGUUGAUCUUGUCAAGCUGCUCAAAUACAUCACCCAUUGUAACUUGACUUCCAGCUAGUGCCAUAAAUCUGCAUUUAAAUUCUAGUCCAGCCAAUCAAACUGACACAGUUGUUUUCUAUGAUAAGCUAAGGAACACGUACAAUUUCAAAUUUAUAAAGUCUUGGUUUACAAGUCUCUCUGACAUGCCCUGGAUUUACUUGAAAGCAGAUGACAUGAUACACAACCUCGCCUUUCCCUCCCAUGUCUUCCAAAAUAGCAAUUUGCCCUUUCAGGACCUGCCAUCCCUAUCCCCGCUCUGCUGAUUAAACAAGGGGAGUCUCAGAUAAUGAUGUUUCAUUCACUUGGAUUGGCAGCAGCACAAAGAACCAAAAUUAAAAUAAACUCCUGCUUCCAGAUGUAUCUGGGACAAAUUGCCAGUGAUGGAGAGGAAAAAUAAUAAUAAAGUCUGCAAUACAGACUGGCUAACAUAUUCAGUGAUCUACUAGAAGAAGUGACUACUAUCUAUAACAACCUAUUUGAAAAGCAGAUUUUGAAGCAGGAUUAUUGGAUUACACUCGUGUAUCAUCACUGGAGAUAGUUCUUCCCUGCUUCUGUGAAAGACAGUGAAAGCGAAAGUGUCAGAAAAAGUUGCUGUUGGAAAGAUGCAAGAUUGCUUCAUGCUUCUUCUCUGGACUCAGCAAGAUUAUUUCUUCAAUAUAGUAUUGGAGAAAAAUCAACUAUUUCUAUGAAACCAUCCAAGUGUGUUCACCCUCUGGGGAAGAAGAAAUGAGUUCUAUUAAUCUGAUGCUCAGAUCUCUCUUCCCAUUUUCACCUGGGAUUCCAAGUCCAGGAAAGAAAUGAUUGGUAUACCAGGUACACCUGUACAGAGAUCUUCCUGGCUCCAGAGGCAACUGGACUAUUGAGGAGGCAACUGGACUUUGGUGACCAUAACCUGGAUGAGAAUCUCCAUGGACACAGGCAAGCCAGGAAUAGUCUUGCAUGCAUAGAGGUAGUCCUUGAGUUAGGACAGGAAUUUCCAACAUAAGUCAUUGCGGACGUAUGUUGAGUCACACUUGAUUUUAUGACAAUUUUAUGGUGGUUGUUCAGUGAAUCCAGCUUCCCAAUGGGUGGUUUUUGCUGGAAAUCAACAACAAAGUUUGCAAAUCGCAAUCACUUGACUGCAGGAGACUGCAACUGGUUGUAAAUGCAAGCCUACUGACAAAAACCCAAAUUGUGAUCAUGUGACUAAGGGAUGGUACCACAGUCGUUAAGAAAUUAUACAUCACUUUUCCGAAGCCAUCCUAACUUCAAACUGUUGUUACACAAUGACAAGUUGAGGACUACCUGUAUAUCCUGUGAGGUAAGGAUGGAAAAAUUUCUGACACCACAGGUAUCAUGAAUUUACAAUCACUAUCUCUUGUCAGGGUUGAAUCUCAGCUGCUCCUGCCCAUCCAGCUUUCCACAGCAUCACUGGAGUGAUCCAUCCAAGGAACUGAAAGCAUCAACCUACAGUUAAGAAAAGUUCUGUUUGUGACCAAGAGUUGAGACUGACUCAAAGACAAAGUAAUUAUCUCUACAAAGACAAAGUAAUUAUCCUCCAUGUUGAGGGAGGAUAUCACUCUCUAGCUUCAUGAAGAUAUGGAAAAGGAGGGGUGAGAAGAUAUGAAACAGGAGUGGACUUCAGGUUCAACAUUCUCCCACUUAUCAGCCAUCUGGAAUGGAGAAAGAGAGAAUCACUAUAAGAUGAUGUCUCCACUCCUAAUUCCCACAGCCAGUCCAAAGAAUAACCUGAUGGCACUGAAAAUUGCUGAGAGAUUAAGGAGAACCAGAGAUUAAGAAUAAGCAGAAUGGUGGCACCACCCCAAUCCCAUCAUGUCUCUAUACCAUCUCCUGGCUUGACACUGACUGAAAUGGGUCUAGAUCAAGGGUAGGCAACCUUCGCUCUUUUAUGACUCGUGGACUUCAACUCCCAGAAUUCCUGAGCCAGCAUGGCUCAGCUUGGAAACCUCUCCCUUUCCC